AAUACCGCAUACGAUCUACGGAUGAAAGCGGGGGAUCGCAAGACCUCGCGCGAAUGGAGCGGCCGAUGUCAGAUUAGGUAGUUGGUGGGGUAAAGGCUCACCAAGCCAACGAUCUGUAGCUGGUCUGAGAGGACGACCAGCCACACUGGAACUGAGACACGGUCCAGACUCCUACGGGAGGCAGCAGUGGGGAAUUUUGGACAAUGGGCGCAAGCCUGAUCCAGCCAUUCCGCGUGCAGGAUGAAGGCUUCGGGUUGUAAACUGCUUUUGUACGGAACGAAACGGCGAGCUCUAAUACAGUUUGCUAAUGACGGUACCGUAAGAAUAAGCACCGGCUAACUACGUG
rnacentral:rRNA from 1 species